UCCAGCAGCCAUAUCACCCUGCAACUCACAACUGGCAACCCACUGAAGCUAAGCAGGUGUGAGCCUGGUCAGUACCUGGACUGGAGACUUCCGGGAAAAACUAAGGUUGCUGCUGGAA
ensembl:rRNA 5S_rRNA 5S ribosomal RNA